rnacentral:rRNA from 1 species
GGGUCAGUAGGUUGGUCGUGCCACCGGUACGUACUGGUCUCACUGAUUCCCCCUUCCUGAAGAACCGUAAUGCCAUUAAUUUGGUGUUGCGGGGAAACAGGACUGUUACUUUGAAAAAAUUAGAGUGUUUAAAGCAAGCUAAUGCUUGAAUACAUUAGCAUGGAAUAAUGAAAUAGGACGAUCGAUCCUAUUUUGUUGGUUUCUAGGAUUGACGUA